rnacentral:misc_RNA from 1 species
AAAACACUCCUCCCGUGCCGGUGUCUUGCGGCACCUGGAGGGUUCUGGUGGAUGCCCACACGUCUGAACUGUGUGUGCACUGCUCAAAUCAGCUGUCCGCGAGCCUGGGGAUCGCAGUCGACGUAGUGAGAUUCAAUCUCGUUGGCUGUAAGACCUGACAGAGGCAACGGGACCUUAAGCGCCAUGGCGCCGACACUGUAAC